rnacentral:rRNA from 1 species
CCCUAUGGGGUGCAGCAGGCGAGAAAACUUUGCAAUGUGCGAAAGCACGACAAGGUUAAUCCGAGUGGCUUCUGUUGAAGUAGCCUUUUGACAGUCCUAAAAACACUGUUGAAUAAGGGGUGGGCAAGUUCUGGUGUCAGCCGCCGCGGUAAAACCAGCACCUCAAGUGGUCAGGAUGAUUAUUGGGCCUAAAGCAUCCGUAGCCGGAUCCAUAAGUUUUCGGUUAAAUCUAUUCGCUCAACGUAUAGGCUGCCGGAAAUACUGUGGAUCUAGGGAGUGGGAGAGGUAGACGGUACUCGGUAGGAAGAGGUAAAAUUCACUAAUCUAUCGAUGACCACCUGUGGCGAAGGCGGUCUACCAGAACACGUCCGACGGUGAGGGAUGAAAGCUGGGGGAGCAAACCGGAUUAGAUACCCGGGUAGUCCCAGCUGUAAACUAUGCAAACUCAGUGAUGCAUUGGGUUGUGCCUAAUGCAGUGUUGCAGGGAAGCCGUUAAGUUUGCCGCCUGGGAAGUACGUACGCAAGUAUGAAACUUAAAGGAAUUGGCGGGGGAGCACCACAAGGGGUGAAGCCUGCGGUUCAAUUGGAGUCAACGCCAGAAAUCUUACCCGGGGAGACAGCAGAAUGAAGGUCAAGCUGGAGACUUUACCAGACAAGCUGAGAGGAGGUGCAUGGCC